rnacentral:rRNA from 1 species
AACGAACGCUGGCGGCGUGCUUAACACAUGCAAGUCGAACGAUGAAGCUGGAGCUUGCUCUAGCGGAUUAGUGGCGAACGGGUGAGUAACACGUGAGCAAUCUGCCCUUGACUCUGGGAUAACUGCGGGAAACUGUAGCUAAUACCGGAUACGAGACUUAGAGGCAUCUCUGAGUCUGGAAAGAAUUUCGGUCAAGGAUGAGCUCGCGGCCUAUCAGCUAGUUGGUGAGGUAAUGGCUCACCAAGGCGACGACGGGUAGCCGGCCUGAGAGGGUGACCGGCCACACUGGGACUGAGACACGGCCCAGACUCCUACGGGAGGCAGCAGUGGGGAAUAUUGCACAAUGGGCGAAAGCCUGAUGCAGCAACGCCGCGUGAGGGAUGAAGGCCUUCGGGUUGUAAACCUCUUUUAGCAGGGAAGAAGCGAAAGUGACGGUACCUGCAGAAAAAGCACCGGCUAACUACGUGCCAGCAGCCGCAGUAAAAC